rnacentral:lncRNA from 1 species
UGCCUUGCCAUGAUAAUCUUGGUGAAGGAGAGGUAGGCACCCCCAUCAUGCACCAAAAGGAGGGGUUGGGCCCCUCUAGUGCAGCUCGAUCUACAUGGGUUUAAAUAAGCCCCACUUAGUUUCAUUUUUCUGCACAAUUGUUUAGUGAUAAUUGUUUUAGCAGACUCAACCGGUUGGCACCUCAAAAAGGGAUGCUUCUUUUUCCAAAAGGGUUGGCUGAGGUAGGUUUUUGGUUGCAACGUAUACCAUCAUAUAAUACCUAAUGUUUCUCCACGAGCAAUCCUCCAAUAGCCUUCCUCCAUUUGCAUCAAGGAAGAGCAAUGCUAGAAUAAUUACAAAAAAAAAAAAAAAGUUACG